ACGAAAACAAAAUGUUUCCCAACAAGAAUUGCGGUUUAUUAAUAAAAUUAAAUAAAGAUAAUUAUGAGUGAUAAGCACAUGGAAAUGGGUUUACCAUUAUAUAUUUCAUUAUCAGUGAAGGACAUGAAAUGAAUAAAUUUAUCACAUCAUAUUUCAUUAUCAACCGUGUAAUAGAGACAAGUUUGUAUGGCAAUUUUAAUAAAAAUGAACUUAUGAAUGUAGAGGAAUGUUCGUCGCAACUAUCUAUUACUAUAAAUACGUAGAAGUAGUAGAAAUGGAUGGUUUCACUCCACUGUUGAACAACCCUUCUCAAAUUAAAAAUGUUUCGAAAUCCGACAUAAUAUACAGAUAAGUACUUACACAACAAUCUAAAGCAAUCAGGUCCGCGUUUCCGAAUAUACGAAAGAAAUGGAAACUUUGCAGAUUUCCAUUAUAUCCAGGGACGGACUAUCCGGGUUAAUGCAACAACCACAAACGUAAUUAAUAAAUCAAAUUGUCAAAAGGAGAUAAUCUAGAGAUGUUAAUUAAGUAAAAGUUAUACCUAGGAAUAUUUUAGAAAAAUAAACAGAUAGUGACCUAAAUAGAAUGAGAAGAAAUUAUAAAUCUCGUUACUUUUAUAAGAAACAUCGAAGAAUAAAUGUUACUAGUUUAAAAAGUAUUAAAAGUUCUGUUUUUAA